rnacentral:rRNA from 1 species
CUGCUGCCUCCCGUAGGAGUUUGGACCGUGUCUCAGUUCCAAUGUGGGGGACCUUCCUCUCAGAACCCCUACGCAUCGUCGGCUUGGUGGGCCGUUGCCCCACCAACUACCUAAUGCGCCGCAUGCCCAUCCGUGACCGGAGUCGCCCCCUUUGGCCGGAAAGGGAUGUCCCUUCCCGGCGUCAUGCUGUAUUAGGCGGGAUUUCUCCCGGUUAUCCAUCUGUCACGGCCAGGUUGCAUACGUGUUACUCACCCGUGCGCCGGUCGCCCGG